GACGAACGCUGGCGGCGUGCUUAACACAUGCAAGUCGAACGGAAAGGCCCUGCUUUUGUGGGGUGCUCGAGUGGCGAACGGGUGAGUAACACGUGAGUAACCUGCCCUUGACUUUGGGAUAACUUCAGGAAACUGGGGCUAAUACCGGAUAGGAGCUCCUGCUGCAUGGUGGGGGUUGGAAAGUUUCGGCGGUUGGGGAUGGACUCGCGGCUUAUCAGCUUGUUGGUGGGGUAGUGGCUUACCAAGGCUUUGACGGGUAGCCGGCCUGAGAGGGUGACCGGCCCAAUGGGGUCUGGGGUACGGCCAAGACCCCUCGGGGGGGAAGGGGGGGGGAUGUUUGCACAAGGGGCGGAGGCCUGGUGCAGCAACCCCGGGGGGGGGAGGGGGGCCUUGGGGUUGGAAACCGUUUUCGCCUGUGACGAAGCGGGGGGGACGGUAAUGGGAAAAAAAGCCCCGGCAAACUCGGU
rnacentral:rRNA from 1 species